AAACCCUUAAACACUAUUAGGCGACUCCAUACCUCUAUGGAAGACAUCAUGCUUGAACUAGUAACAAGAAUAUAAAAUUCUCCUAAGUGUAAGUAUAGGCCACAUUAGAUAAACUACCGGCAAUUAACAUCAAUAAACCCUUUACAAUAACCCCUUAAAAAAACUUGUAAAUUUCAAUGUUAAUCUUACACAAGCACACUUCAGGAAAGAUUAAAAGGAUAAGAAGGAACUCGGCAAAUUUUAACCCCGCCUGUUUACCAAAAACAUCGCCUCUUGCAGAUUAUUAUAAGAGGUCCAGCCUGCCCAGUGAUUACUUAAACGGCCGCGGUACCCUAACCGUGCAAAGGUAGCACAAUUACUUGUCCUUUAAAUGAGGACUAGAAUGAAUGACACCACGAGGGUUGUACUGUCUCCUUACCCUAAUCAGUGAAACUGACCUCCCCGUGAAAAGGCGGGAAUUAAAAUACUAGACGAGAAGACCCCAUGGAGCUUCAGACACCGAGCAAAUUAAAGCCCUCAUCUAUUUAGCCCAAAAUUUAUGUUUCUAAGUCUUUGGUUGGGGCGACCAUGGAGUAAAAACUAACCUCCACACCGAAUGGACACCUCCUUAUCUAAGAGGAACACCUCUAAGAAACAGAACACUGACGCACACUGAUCCGGAAUCCGAUCAACGAACCAAGUUACCCUGGGGAUAACAGCGCCAUCUACCUAAAGAGUCCAUAUCGACAGGUAGGUUUACGACCUCGAUGUUGGAUCAGGGUAUCCUAGUGGUGCAGCAGCUACACAAGGUUCGUUUGUUCA
rnacentral:rRNA from 1 species